UUCUCUGAGCCAGAGUUUACACAGAGUCUCAGAGAAGAAAGCUCUAUUCUUCCCACAGGAAGAGGCAGGCCGGCCGCCCCUGGCUGUGUUUGUCCUGAAUCUCGGGAAUGUGUGGCAAAUGCAUUUCCCCAGCCGGGCCCUGGGGUGUUCUUGUAGGCCAGGGUGUCAGAGGCCAAGAGUCUUGCAGUCAUGAACCCUGAUUUCCCCUGGCGCCUGGAGAGAGACAGGCUAUGCAUCAUCUCUAGCAUUGAGACGACGGAUCCAGAGUCACAAUGGUCCAGGCUUUAUGGGAGGUGGUCCCCAGCCCACAUCAUGCUACAGAUACAAGAAUAAGAUCUUGGAAAACCAGGAAACCAAUAUCUAGGGCAAGAGCUUAUGGUGGAAACGCUGUUGUGGAAGGAAGUUAGAGAGGAUGGGAAGGGGAGAUUUUGAGGUUCUCUCCCUUGGCUUCUAAAGCACAACCCUGAACUGGACAGGACAGCCUGGAAACAACACUGGCAAAGGAAAGUCCCAGAGGAGGAAAGUGCUGAGCUCGUCGUAACGGCCCUGAGCUACACCGACAAGGAAUGGUGUCCUUAUACAAAGAGGAUUUUCUUAUAAAGACACCAGAGCUGCCUCUUGCCUUCUCUCUCUCCUUACGCCCAAAGAGCCCAUGUGAUCACACAGUCAGAAGGUGCCAUCUAUAAGCCAGGAAGAGACAUCUCACCAGAAACCAAAUCUCAUGUCACCUUGAUCUCAGACUUCUAGCCUCCAGAAAUGUGAGAAAAUAAAUUCUGCUGUUUAAGUCC